AGUGGGAGCGAGCUUGCUCGCGAUAGCGGUGGAUCAGCCAAUGAAAAUAUCGAUUGGCAAGGCCCCAUCGCGAGCAAGCUCGCUCCCACA
rnacentral:misc_RNA from 1 species